UUCAUGGUCGAGUGGUAAAGACACGUUCCUCUCACCCUGGAGAUCUGGGUUCAAUCCCCCGUUGAGAAG